rnacentral:rRNA from 1 species
GAUGAACGCUGGCGGUAUGCUUAACACAUGCAAGUCGAACGGACUCUUCGGAGUUAGUGGCGGACGGGUGAGUAACGCGUGAGAAUCUGGCUUUGGGUCCGGGACAACCACUGGAAACGGUGGCUAAUACCGGAUGUGCCGAGAGGUAAAAGAGAAAUUGCCUGAAGAUGAGCUCGCGUCUGAUUAGCUAGUUGGUGAGGUAAAGGCUCACCAAGGCAGCGAUCAGUAGCUGGUCUGAGAGGAUGACCAGCCACACUGGGACUGAGACACGGCCCAGACUCCUACGGGAGGCAGCAGUGGGGAAUUUUCCGCAAUGGGCGAAAGCCUGACGGAGCAAUACCGCGUGAGGGAAGAAGGCUCUUGGGGUGUAAACCUCUUUUCUUAGGGAAGAACAAAAUGACGGUACCUAAGGAAUCAGCAUCGGCUAACUCCGUG